UCAAGAAACUUCCACAAUGGGCGAAAGCCUGAUGGAGCGACGUCGCGUGAUGGACGAAGUGCUUCGGCACGUAAACAUCUUUUAUGUGGGAUGAAAUUAUUGACAGUACCACAUGAAUAAGGGGCUCCUAACUCUGUGCCAGCAGGAGCGGUAAUACAGAGGCCCCAAGCGUUAUCCGGAAUCACUGGGCGUAAAGGGUGUCGAGGCGGUCGUAUUAGUUGUUUGUAAAAUCCGUGGGCUCAACCUACGGCGCGCAAGCGAAACGGUACGACUUGAGGUUUGGAGAGGUGCGUGGAACUCACGGUGUAGGGGUGAAAUCCGUUGAUAUCGUGGGGAACACCAAAGGCGAAGGCAGCGCACUGGCCAAAAUCUGACGCUCACACACGAAAGCUAGGGUAGCGAAGAGGAUUAGAUACCCAAGUAGUCCCUGAGCGGGCUGGCAAGGCGCAU
rnacentral:rRNA from 1 species